ensembl:lncRNA
AACGUUCUCACACGAGAACCUGUGGGUCGGGUGGUCCAGGCAGCCCUGAGGUUAGUGGGGCACAUUGCUGCCCAGAUGACCUGAGCGCUUGCUAGAUUGAAGGGAUGUUUCCUAUCCCUUCGCUGCUUAACUGGCUUAGAAAAAAAGAACUACGCCAUGUAGAAGACUAAGGAUUGUUCUAGAAAGCUAGAAAACCUGCCCCUUCUACUGACCAGAGCUUUAACAUGAAUCCUGGUGGGAUGCAGCGUGAUCGUAACAGAGGCCAUGCGUGUUUGGGUAGAACUGUGGAGGGUCACACAGGUUUCACGCCGGCCUCUGAGGAGAUCUCCGUUGUGCUACACAGACUCAGCUGUGAGCUUGGACACUGUAUAUCGUUCCCAUUUUACUGUGGCUCACUUUACUCGAGUGGGAAAAGAAGAUGCGUUCCAGAGAAAUCAUACUUGGACUUGGAGAUUUUGAUCCUUUCCUGGGCUGGCCACACGGAUCUUUGAUGCCUUUUCAUCUAGGGUAGCAGCAGCAAGCUGUUCCCAGGGAGCCCCAUGGCCAUGAAGUAACUGGUCCUACUGUGUUCCCAGGGAGCCCCAUGGCCAUGAAGUGACUGGUCCUAUUGUGUUCCCAGGGAGCCCCAUGCCAUGAAGUGACUGGUCCUACUGUGUUUCCAGGGAGUCCCAUGGCCAUGAAGUGACUGGUCCUACUGUGUUCCGGGCAAAUGAGCCAAGAUGCUUGCCAGACUGGGAUGUCAAGCACACCCUCGACUGCUGCUGGCUUUUCAUUUAUGACGGCUAUGGCCCAGGUGCUCUUGAACCAAACAGCUAGUAAAGUCACGUGCAUCUCAGAGCAUGGGGUUUUUGUGUUGGGUAUUCUUUUAGUUAUUCUUUGGCAUUUUGCGUGUGUUUACGACGUGUCGUGAUUAUAUUUACCAGACCUGAAGCAGGAGGAUGGAAAAGGCAAGG